rnacentral:rRNA from 1 species
CUGCAGUCGAGCGAGCUGAAUUCAAAGAUUCCUUCGGGNAUGAUUUGUUGGACGCUAGCGGCGGAUGGGUGAGUAACACGUGGGCAAUCUGCCCUAAAGACUGGGAUACCACUUGGAAACAGGUGCUAAUACCGGAUAACAACAUGAAUCGCAUGAUUCAAGUUUGAAAGGCGGCGCAAGCUGUCACUUUAGGAUGAGCCCGCGGCGCAUUAGCUAGUUGGUGGGGUAAAGGCCUACCAAGGCAAUGAUGCGUAGCCGAGUUGAGAGACUGAUCGGCCACAUUGGGACUGAGACACGGCCCAAACUCCUACGGGAGGCAGCAGUAGGGAAUCUUCCACAAUGGACGCAAGUCUGAUGGAGCAACGCCGCGUGAGUGAAGAAGGUUUUCGGAUCGUAAAGCUCUGUUGUUGGUGAAGAAGGAUAGAGGCAGUAACUGGUCUUUAUUUGACGGUAAUCAACCAGAAAGUCACGGCUAACUACGUGCCAGCAGCCGCGGUAAUACGUAGGUGGCAAGCGUUGUCCGGAUUUAUUGGGCGUAAAGCGAGCGCAGGCGGAAUGAUAAGUCUGAUGUGAAAGCCCACGGCUCAACCGUGGAACUGCAUCGGAAACUGUCAUUCUUGAGUGCAGAAGAGGAGAGUGGAACUCCAUGUGUAGCGGUGGAAUGCGUAGAUAUAUGGAAGAACACCAGUGGCGAAGGCGGCUCUCUGGUCUGCAACUGACGCUGAGGCUCGAAAGCAUGGGUAGCGAACAGGAUUAGAUACCCUGGUAGUCCAUGCCGUAAACGAUGAGCGCUAGGUGUUGGGGACUUUCCGGUCCUCAGUGCCGCAGCAAACGCAUUAAGCGCUCCGCCUGGGGAGUACGACCGCAAGGUUGAAACUCAAAGGAAUUGACGGGGGCCNG